ACCCUGUGGCUCUAUUAUAUGUCGGCGGGCAAAAAGCAAAUUUGGCCCUUCUCGGGCGUUUUGGGCGACGGCGGCCACCGUACCUCGGUUACCCCAAUUAUCUUCCUCCCUUUAACCCCCCCCCCCACUGUACCUGGGGGGCACGGGGGGGGCACCCAGCUAAGGCCCCAUCACCAGAGUGGGUGCUGGGCACCCAGGCCAGGCCGGGGGCGCCAGGAGAGGGGUGCCCAGUCUGGUGGGACGUAUUCCUGGAGGGUUCAUCACAGGCCCCAUUCUCCAUUCCUGGCGACGCCAGGACCCCGACGUGGGGCAGCAACUAGGGGCCCUAGACAGGGAUCGGGGCCCGUGGUGCCAGAUGUUGUGCACACACAGAACAGACCCACAGUCCUGGCCAUGCAGCACUUACGUCAGAGUACAAGAGCUGACACAACGGGUGGCUACAACGCACAAAGAACGAGCACCUGGCAGCGGCCAUGCUCAGAAGACAGGAUGGUGGUAGCUGGCCCAUCGCUCUGCCCCACUAUGGUUGAUCUUAUAUACUCACAACGAAAGGUCAGCAAAGCACCAGCUCCCCCUCCCGUCGGUCUGUCUGUCUCUACUUGUCUCAGAGGUAAACCGAGUCCCCUCCUGCGUUCCUCACUUCAGCCGUGGCAGCCGUGGAGCAGCAGCCCGCCCACCCUGCCGGGACAGCUUAAAAAUCCACCAAACUCGCAGUUUGCGCGAACUGUGCUGUGAAGACACCCCCUAGGACUGUUGGCUUCUCUGUUCGCUGUGCACAGCGCCUGGUGCCAGAGGCUCGGUGGCGGCACCGCCGUGCGGUCGCAUCACAGCAGCCCAGGCCUGCGACACCAACUCUGCUUGGUUACAACGGCACCAGGGUGUAAACAUCACCGUGGUGGCUCAGCGGAAUUCCCCCUUCCAGCUCCGUGGGACCCGGAGAACGGUACGCCUGGCCGCUGCUGGAAGCAGGGGGAGUCGGCCGUUGGCUUCGCCGGCCUGGAAUACGUCACACCAGCUCCAGGUUGAUCAGUCUCCCUGCUAGCAGCCGCGAUCCCAGGUGUGUCCGCCCCACGCACACAGCGAUUCGCUGGUGACGGCGCUGCCGGGCCCCUUUCUCCUUUGACAUGGCAGCCGUCGGUUAGGGCAGCUCCUUUUUCAUUCUUUUGGUGAGAGGGAAUUUCCCGUCGCAAGCCGAUGGGCCAGAGGCCGCGUGCGCUGCCGAGUUCGGGGGGGUGGCACAGCUCUCGUGGAUGCCAGAAGCUGGGCCCCGGGAACGACUCAGAGUUUGCCCUCUGCGUGCAGCCGCCUCGGGAAAUAGCGUCACAGAAAACCACAGAACUGCUGAACGUAAAAACAUGUGGCCCGGGCCUGGGAGCCUGAUGCCAGAAUUCAAGAUGGCUGCCAAGGGAGAGAAAUGGAGCCAAGCCAACACUCUAGCCUUCCUUGUCCAUGAUCGAUGGUUUAUUAGCCCCUCUCCCACCUCAUUGGCUAACCGCAGGUGAUUGACAAGCACCCUGGUGCAGACGCAGGGCUCUUCGAUUGGCCGGGACUCUCUCAGGCCCGUAACUUGUACACGGUCCAGCCAAUAAGCAGGCAGGGACGACAACCCAAGCCGUAACCUAUAGCUUCCCCCCCGAGGCUAUUUGUGGGGCGCUGAAGCGAAGCGGCCGUCCCGGGGGAGGCUGGAGUUCCCAAGCCGGAGAGUCUGGUUUCCGGGCGCGGGGACCGGUGGCGGCACGUCACAGCCCCGGGAAUUGCUCUCCUCUUGGCCCCCGCGUUUGAUCUCCUGCCAGGCUGCGCGCUCGCUCGGGGCAGUCUGGGGAGGAGACGCCCCGGAGGCCAGGCAGGCUGGGGGGGGUCACACAACAGCAGGGAGGCUUUGCCAGCCUCCAUCUCGCUGGCUCCUCAAACAAGAGGGUUUAAAGUUCACAGCAGAGGGGGCCGGUCGUGGCUCCCCCCCCACCCCCCGGCUUCGGCUGGAGCUUUGCAGGGGCGGCUCGUCCCCCUUCAAAGCGUGGGGGGGUGGCAGCAGCCGGCUGAAGCGCAGAUGCCCUGCAGCCAUACAGCACGAGAGCGAGCACUCUGCUCACGGGUGCCCUUGGCUUCCGGCCGGCCGGCGGCUGGGCUGCGUGGGAUGAGAGGGCCCCAGCCUGCAGGGCCACGCCGGCGUCACCCGCCCCGGCACGAGGCUCGCUCAGAGGGGAGGUUUUAUUGGCCUAGGGACAGGCCUCGAGCCUGUGGGUCCCCACUCAGCUCUCCCUGCACCACAGAGGCCCCUGGGCCCAGUGCGUCCCUCCUUGGCGGGCAGCAGACCAGCCCCAAAACACUAGUAGGGCCUACACAAAAACACGGGCUAUGUUCUACUCAAAGGUUGUUUUUAAAGUCUUGAUUGGGGGUGGAGGUCAGGAAGGGAGGGGGGGUGACACACCACGCUCAGAGGGUCAUGUUAGGGGCAAAGCUCAGGCUAACAAUCCACGUGCUCUGGGGGCAGGCGGAGCCGCACACAGCCGGGACGUGGGCUCCGGAUGGAGGUGGCCCUGCCCAUUACUGCAGGUGGGAUGCCCGUGGGCAGCUGCUCUAUAAGGCAGCCUUGUGGAUGACAGGGCAGCAGGAGCCAGGUUGGGCUGACCCCGGGCAGGGCACCCGCUCUGUUUGCAGCCCCCGGCCCCGCUGCUGCUCGGUGCGUCCUCUGCAGCGCAAGUGCCGGAUGGAUGGAGCCUGCCCCAUGGCAUGGCCGUGUGUUGCCGCCAGCGGGGGUGCCCGGGGGUGCCCAGGGCGGCAGUGAUUAGCUCAUGCCGGCCUCCUGGACAGACCUCCUCUGUGAGCGGCUGCUGUGAGGCCGGAGAUGCAGAGGGUGCAGCCUGCAGGGAGCAGCGAGGGGGACUGGGGCGGCCUGCACACAAGGGGUCAAUUGUACACACAGGCCCCAGCUUCCUUCCUUGGCGGAAGCCACCAGCGAGCAGGGCGAGGAGGCGGCUGGGCAGGGCAGGGCAGGGCCGCCCCAGCCCCAACCCAGGACUAGCCUGUGGCACUGCAAAGGGAGGCUGCAGCAGGAGGUUUGGGGUUCCUGCCGGCUGCACGGGGAGGGAGUGGCUCUCACCUGGCAGUAGAAGAGAGGUUCGGCCAGUCCUGGAGCCGCGAAAGGAGCCAGCCGGGCUCGGAGACACAACCCGGCCAGAGCGCAGCAGCUCUAACAUGCCGGGGCCUGUACGGCUGUUGGUGCUGUGAACCUCGCUGCAGAGCCCCGCGAGCUCUCAGCACAUGCGCCCCUCGCUGUGGGGCUGGGACGGGCUCUGCACUGCUCAGGCUGCGGGCCUCUGCCAAGCAGGGGCUGUGAGAACAGGAUGGGGGCCAGGCCGCUCCAAGCCGGGGUGAUGGGAGGCACCUGCUGGGAGUCAGAGGUGCCCGGGCAAAGCCCCAGGGAGGGGAGAUGGGACGAGCGCUGAGGGGGGCCUGGGGCUCCCCGUGGUACUGGAUGCCUCCAGCUGGACAGAGGGGAGGGGGGCGGUCUCACCAAGCCCUGAGUUAGGCCCCAGAGCUCAUGAGAUGCUGGUAAGGGCCCGUGCCUGGUUUUUCAGGGUGUCUGAGCCCCCGCCCCACAGCAGGGGUGACGAUCACAGCCCUGCCGCUCCCCCAGGCAGGUGCCGGCAGGACCCAGCUGGGAUCUGCACACGCAGCCUGGGGCAUGGAGCGCCCAGCUCCCCGCCCCCGGCAGCCCCCGGGAUCCCCCCGCUGCGAACACGGGCUCUGCUCCACCCUCCCUGCCUGGCUCCUGCUGCUCCCCCAAACUCCUCCCAGCUCAGCCUCACACUGCUGCCGCUCUGAUUGGCUGCUCUGCCCAGGGAGGCAGGAUAGUGGGGAAGGCAGCCAAUCAGAUGCUGGUGGGGGGGGCAGGCCCAGCCCAGACCUGCGCUGCCCCUUGCCACCACACCCCACUUCGGCCAUGGGGGCUCCUCUCGGCCACUCAGAGCCGGGGAAGGGGCAGGGCAGAAACAGAUGAGUGAGGGAGAGGGGCUGAGGCUGCCUCCUUGCAACCCCCCCCACCCCACACACACACCCCUACACCAUGAGGCAGAGAAAAUACUGAAGCGGUUUUAUUUACAGACCCAACAAAAACCCAAACGAAACAAAGGGGUCGGGGAGGGGUGACGCCCUAUUGCACAGUUUGAACCCCAGAGAUGGGGGGGCACAGGCACCAGCGCAUGGGGAGCCCCCAGCAUCCCCUCCCCCUCAGUGCCUACUGCCCCUUUCCCAGCCACAGGGGGGAGAGAAACAGCUUCCCGGGCAGGCGUGAGUGAGAUGGGGAGUGCACAAUGACCCAGCCCCACGGCAGCCCAGGGUGUCCAGCAGGGGGCACGUGGGGGGUCGUGGGGCCCGGCUUGCAUGGCACCCGCUCACCAGCACAGCGGUUACAGCACAAGCUAACGGCGGCCACGGGGAGAAUAAAUAAAUUACAAAAUAUAUUAACA